rnacentral:rRNA from 1 species
GAGCGGUAACGGGUCCAGCUUGCUGGAUGCCGACGAGCGGCGGACGGGUGAGUAAUGCAUAGGAAUCUGCCCAGUCGUGGGGGAUAACCUGGGGAAACCCAGGCUAAUACCGCAUACGUCCUACGGGAGAAAGCGGGGGCUUCGUGUUCUUCGGAAUAAGGACCUCGCGCGAUUGGAUGAGCCUAUGUCGGAUUAGCUGGUUGGUGAGGUAACGGCUCACCAAGGCGACGAUCCGUAGCUGGUCUGAGAGGAUGAUCAGCCACACCGGGACUGAGACACGGCCCGGACUCCUACGGGAGGCAGCAGUGGGGAAUAUUGGACAAUGGGCGCAAGCCUGAUCCAGCCAUGCCGCGUGUGUGAAGAAGGCUUUCGGGUUGUAAAGCACUUUCAGUGGGGAAGAAGGCCUGGCGGUCAAUACCCGCCAGGGACGACAUCACCCACAGAAGAAGCACCGGCUAACUCCGUGCCAGCAGCCGCGGUAAUACGGAGGGUGCGAGCGUUAAUCGGAAUUACUGGGCGUAAAGCGCGCGUAGGCGGCCAAGUAAGCCGGUUGUGAAAGCCCCGGGCUCAACCUGGGAAUGGCAUCCGGAACUGGUUGGCUAGAGUGCAGGAGAGGAAGGUAGAAUUCCCGGUGUAGCGGUGAAAUGCGUAGAGAUCGGGAGGAAUACCAGUGGCGAAGGCGGCCUUCUGGACUGACACUGACGCUGAGGUGCGAAAGCAUGGGUAGCAAACAGGAUUAGAUACCCUGGUAGUCCAUGCCGUAAACGAUGUCGACUAGCCGUUGGGUCCCUUGAGGACUU